CAGUAGCCGCGGGAAUACGGAGGGAGCUAGCGUUGUUCGGAAUUACUGGGCGUAAAGCGCGCGUAGGCGGUUACUCAAGUCAGAGGUGAAAGCCCGGGGCUCAACCCCGGAACUGCCUUUGAAACUAGGUGACUAGAAUCUUGGAGAGGCGGGUGGAAUUCCGAGUGUAGAGGUGAAAUUCGUAGAUAUUCGGAAGAACACCAGUGGCGAAGGCGGCCCGCUGGACAAGUAUUGACGCCGAGGUGCGAAAGCGUGGGGAGCAAACAGGAUUAGAUACCCCCGUAGUCCCUGUCUCUUAUAC
rnacentral:rRNA from 1 species